GAUGAACGCUGGCGGCGUGCCUAAUACAUGCAAGUCGAGCGAACAGAUGAGGAGCUUGCUCCUCUGACGUUAGAGGCGGACGGGUGAGUAACACGGGGAUAACCUACCUAUAAGACUGGGAUAACGUCGGGAAACCGGAGCUAAUACCGGAAAAUAUAUUGAACUGCAUUGUUCAAUAGUGAAAGACGGUUUUGCGGUCAUGUAUAGCUAGCUCAGCGCCGUAUUAGCUAGUUGGUAAGGUAACGGCUUACCAAGGCAAUGGUGCGUAGCCGACCUGAGAGGGUGAUCGGCCACACGGGACCUGAGACACGGUCCAGACUCCUACGGGAGGAAGCAGAGGGGAAUCUUCAGCAAUGGGCGAAAGCCUGACGGAGCAACGCCGCGUGAGUGAUGAAGGUCUUCGGAUCGUAAAACUCUGUUAUUAGGGAAGAACAAAUGUGUAAGUAACUAUUCACGUCUUGACGGUACCUAAUCAGAAAGCCACGGCUAACUACGUG
rnacentral:rRNA from 1 species